AGAACCGACAGAAGGGAUUAGGGCGGCUAAAACAGAAACGGGGAAAUGAGAACGGCGGCCAAGGGAAAAAUUGAAGGUUUCAGCUGGAACAAGGGAAAGAAAAGAGGAAGCUGCGGAAGAGCUAAGAGAAAUAGAGAGGAAAAAGGGUGACGAUUGGCGGCUGAUGGCCAGAAAACUGAAGCGGAACAAGGAAAAUCGAGAAGGAAGCUGCGGCUGAAAUCUGGAACUUGGAGAAGGAAUUUCGGGCAAUAAGGAAAGGAAAAAGAAGAAGAGCUUGGGCAAAGGAGUUGAGUCUUCUAGUCAGCACCUGAAUCCACCACCAUCACCUGCGAAUUCACCGAUGAUUAGCACUGUAAACUUUCUUUUCCUUCUCUAAAUUUCGAGUUUCAGUGUUGGAUUGUUGAAGCUUUUAUUGUUUAUUUUUCUGAGAUUGUUUUUUAGUUGCCUGUGUAUUCAUAUGUGAUUUCAUGAUUGUGUAUGCUGUUGAUGUUCAUUGGACUGCAAUUUGUAGAGAUAAAAAUUCUGGGCCCUUAUCCGACAAAAAGAAGGAGGAAUUUCCUUC
rnacentral:lncRNA from 1 species